rnacentral:hammerhead_ribozyme from 1 species
GCAUUCCUGAAGAGUCCCAUAAUAGGACGAAAUAGAUGUCCAGUAC